rnacentral:rRNA from 1 species
UUGAGAGAGGGAGCCCAGAGAUGGACUCUGAGACAUGAGUCCAGGCCCUACGGGGCGCAGCAGUCGCGAAAACUUCGCAAUGGGGGAAACCCCGACGAGGGAAUUCCAAGUGCCAGCACUUUGUGUUGGCUGUUCUUCUGUCUAAAAAACAGGAGAAGUAAGGGGCGGGUAAGACGGGUGCCAGCCGCCGCGGUAAUACCCGCGCCCCAAGUGGUGGUCGAUAUUAUUGAGCCUAAAACGUCCGUAGCCGGUCUUCUAAAUCCUUGGGUAAAUCGGGCAGCUCAACUGUCCGAAUUCCGGGGAGACUGGGAGACUUGGGACCGGGAGAGGUCAGAGGUACUUCUGGGGUAGGGGUAAAAUCCUGUAAUCCUGGAAGGACCACCGGUGGCGAAGGCGUCUGACUAGAACGGAUCCGACGGUGAGGGACGAAGCCCUGGGGCGCAAACGGGAUUAGAUACCCCGGUAGUCCAGGGUGUAAACGCUGCGGGCUUGGUGUUGGGGGUCCUUAGUGGGCGCCCAGUGCCGGA